rnacentral:misc_RNA from 1 species
GAAGUACAGGUUUCUAACACGAUCUGGAUAUCGUAGGACACGAUCAUACAACAAAGAAAGAUUUUGACCCCACAAAUUUUUAGCCUCAUCAAUCAGAUAAUCAGCAGCUAUAUGGACUGAAAUAGAGGAAUGUAGACCAGAUAUCAUUUUGUAUAAUAUUCUUUCCUCUUGGCAUAACUCUUCUGAUGGAUAUUUUGGGCAGUUCUCUGAAUAGAUAGCAUCCCAAAUCCUUCUAGCAGAUGGACCAGUGUAUCCAGUGUAGCGUUCAGGGUUCAGUUGAAGGUUUACAUAUGUCAUCUCAGCAUUAUCAGUCUCAUCGUCAUUGGUCCAGGGGUUGUCUAUUUCAGUCCAACCUUUGAAAGCUUUACGAUCUAAUGUACGAUCCACCGUAGCUUCGGGCUUUCCCUCUUGACAAACAAAGGCCUCAGAUGAAAGGAUACGAGGCUUUUUAAAUGAUUCAGGGAACUCAUUAUCUGGGCAUUCACAAACACUACAAUCUCGCAGCCGGCACAUGCCAUCAUCAGGCCAGAAGGGACAAUCACACCACAACUUAACCUUGAAAUAGCGGAAGAAUGGAGUUUUAACAAGCUCUUGAAGGGACGGAUAUAACACUUCCUCAUUUAGUCGAUCUACAGUCUCAUAAUCACAACAACAACCCUCCACCAUACCGCUGUACUUGGGUGUAUCAUUGGCACAAGGACAAGGCUUAUUGCUGCGGCCAAAGAGCGAAAUCAUAGGAGCGGUUCGAGAAGUCAUAGCCACAGCAAGAAAAAUGGCGAUGAGAGCACCGCCCAUCAUCAAACCCCAUCUGCAUCUUGGACCCUUUGCCCCAACCAUCACUUCCGGCGAUUGUAUUCAAAGGGAUCCUGUCUCCGGCGGCCGGAAAAUGAGGGGAACAAAGAAAGAAGGAUCUUGUCGGCGAUACGUGAAGACUGGGCGAAGAAUGAAAAAUGGGUCAAUGACAAAUUCUGGGACCGGUGGCCAAGAAAUUGAAGGAGAAGACUGAAAAAUCAAAAACGUGUGCAAAAAUUCGAUGGGCG